GAAAUUAGGCUUAGGGUUUCUCUUAAACCCCGGUUUAGGCGAGUUUAGCAGGUGAAUUGAAUUUUUUUGGCUGUAUCAGAGGGAUAAACUCGGUUAUAGAUUUAUGGCGGCUGGAAGACAUGGGGGUUAUAGGGACAAUGAGUUCAGGGAUCGUGAGUCUGACUUUGAGGUAGCCAGGAGGGAAAUUGGCUAUUCAAAAGGUGAUUAUGAUCGGAUGAGGAAUGGUGUGGGGGACUAUGAUAGGGGGAAUAGGGCUCAAAAUCAUGAUGGUCGAGAUAGGGGUAGAGUUAGGCAGAAGGAUAUUAAGGAGAGGGAGUUCACUAAUGGUGGGUAUCGGUCUGCUCAAGUAGGAGUGACUCGGGCAGUAGUGGUGGUGGUAGUGCUGGUCUGGGCCAAAAGAGGUAUGGUUUUUGCAUGAGGCCCGUGGACAGAGAACCUGGGGAAUUGUCCAGUGAAAGUGGGUCUGAUGGGGCUAUUGAUUCUGAAGCGCAUAAGAAGGAUGGUGGUGAGCUUAAGAAGUCAGAAAAUGGAAAGAGAAAAUUUUCACCCAUCAUUUGGGAUAGAGAUGGAGAUGGCAAAAAGUGACUAGAAUUGUUAAGGCGAGGACUUCCCCAGCAGCAGCUGCUCUUCCCCUCAGCUACCCACGCCUACUUCUGGCACCAUGUCACCUGAUCGCAACCCUGAUAGUCGUCAACAUAUUUCACCUAGUAAAGAUAUAGUGGUUCAGAAUUCUGGGCUGUCACCGAAAAAGGUUACUGAGGACCUCACUUCUCAAAUAAAUGUUGCUUCUGACUCUCCAAUUGGUUUAUCUCCUUCAGCUCCUGAGGCAGAGGAAGAGGAAGCUCACUGGGGUAAAAAUGAGGGAGCAGUGACAGUAGAUGAUGAUUACUAUAUGCCAGCACGUAAUAUAAAAUCCUCUCGCUGGGCAAAUGAGGCUGAAUCAUCAGCUGAUGAAGGUGAAAUUUCUGAUGAUGAGGAGAUGGUUAAAUUGAAGAAGAAGAAGAAAUCUGUUAAUGAAUCUACUGACACAAGGGGACAGAGGAAAUCGGUAACUCCAGAGCUCGGGGAACUGAGGAGAGAAGGUUCAGUGGGAAAUAGGGUCAGGUCUUCUGAUGAACGCGUUAGAUCCUUUAGUGGAGAUAGUGAUCCUGAUGAAUUGGACAGGAAUGAGUACAUGGAGGUUGAUGAAGAUCGCACUUAUGGUGGAACCAGUGGUAGCAAUGCGGAUACUGGUUCUGAUGAUGAACACAACUCCCACGGGACACCAGAACAUGCAGUUCCUCCACCAAGGGCCGUGAACAUGCUUCAGGGUUGUAGAAGUGUUGAUGAGUUUGAGAGGCUGAACAAAAUAGAUGAAGGCACAUAUGGUGUAGUUUAUAGAGCUAGGGAUAAGAGAACAGGAGAAAUAGUUGCUCUGAAGAAGGUCAAGAUGGAUAAAGAAAGAGAAGGGUUCCCUUUGACCUCUUUGAGGGAAAUAAACAUUCUUCUUUCUUUUCAUCACCCAUCAAUUGUAGAUGUCAAGGAAGUAGUUGUAGGGAGCAGUUUGGACAGCAUUUUUAUGGUAAUGGAGUACAUGGAACAUGAUCUGAAGGGGUUAAUGGAGACAAUGAAACAACCGUUUAGCCAGAGUGAAGUUAAGUGCCUCAUGCUUCAGCUUUUUGAGGGUGUUAAGUAUCUGCACGAUAACUGGGUUUUGCACAGAGAUUUAAAGACAUCAAAUAUACUUUAAAUAAUUGUGGUGAGUUGAAGAUCUGUGACUUUGGAUUAGCACGUCAAUAUGGAAGCCCUUUGAAACCAUAUACUCACUUGGUGGUUACUUUGUGGUACAGGGCGCCUGAACUGCUUCUAGGAGCUAAGCAGUACUCUACAGCGAUUGACAUGUGGUCCUUGGGUUGUAUUAUGGCCGAGCUGUUAGCGAAGCAGCCACUAUUCAAUGGGAAAACAGAAGUUGAUCAACUCGACAAGAUAUUCAAAAUCCUUGGUACCUAAUGACACAAUCUGGCCUGGGUUUUCAAAGCUUCCUGGGGUCAGGGUUAACUUUGUCAAGCAUCAGUAUAAUCAACUGCGUUCCAAAUUUCCAGCUACAUCCUUCAGAGGAUCGCCGGUACUCUCUGAUGCUGGAUUUGACUUAUUGAACAGGCUUCUGACUUACGACCCUGAGAAGCGAAUAACUGCUGAGGAUGCUCUAGCCAUCCUUGGUUUUCUGAAGUUCCUCUACCCAAGUCGAAAGAAUUUAUGCCUACUUUUCCUGCUCAGCAUGCUCAAGACAGACGUUUGCGAAGAGCCAUGAAGAGCCCAGAUCCCUUGGAAGAGCAGCGCAGGAAGGAGUUGCAACAAGGGGAACUAGGAACUAGUGGUUUGUUUGGUUAAGGGAAGUCAUUAGUGCCUUGAAGUUCAAUUUAUGCUUCAGUUCUGUUCUCGUGAUUGAUGUGGUUGAGGUGAGGAUGUAUUGAGAGGAAGUUAUUGUUAGAAGAUCAUUCGUGCUGUUUUUUAGCAGGCACCCUUGAUGAAGUAGAUGGAGAAUCAAUUCUUUGUCUAAGCUUUUGAAUCAGAUGUGGUGGGGAGCUCUGGUGUAAUGAAAAUUCCUUCUUUGACACUGCUUGCAUGCCAAGGUGUGGCAUAGUGCCUUUCUUAUUAAGAAACAGUUUCAGUUGAAACUUGUGUAUGUAACAUAUUUUCUGUUGAUACAUUGUAACAAUUUUCAUGAAAUUUGUUUUGAAUUUCAGAACGAUAUAGUGUUUAUUCUUAA